UUUCCGUAGGUGAACCUGCGGAAGGAUCAUUGCUGGAACGCGCUUCGGCGCACCCAGAAACCCUUUGUGAACUUAUACCUAUACUGUUGCCUCGGCGCUGGCCGGCCUCCUCACCGAGGCCCCCUGGAGACAGGGAGCAGCCCGCCGGCGACCAACCAAACUCUUGUUUCUUAGUGAAUCUCUGAGCAAAAAACAUAAUGAAUCAAAACUUUCAACAACGGAUCUCUUGGUUCUGGCAUCGAUGAAGAACGCAGC
rnacentral:misc_RNA from 1 species